GACGAGCUCUCCAAACGUUAUCCGGAUUCACUGGGUUUAAAGGGAGCGCAGGCGGGCUGGUAAGUCAGUGGUGAAAGCCUUGAGCUUAACUCGAGAACUGCCAUUGAUACUAUCAGUCUUGAAUAUUGUUGAGGUUUGCGGAAUGGGUCAUGUAGCGGUGAAAUGCAUAGAUAUGACCCGGAACACCUAUUGCGAAGGCAGCAGGCUAAACAAAGAUUGACGCUCAUGCACGAAAGCGUGGGGAGCAAACAGG
rnacentral:rRNA from 1 species